GACGAACGCUGGCGGCGUGCCUAAUACAUGCAAGUCGAGCGGACGGAUGGGAGCUUGCUCCCAGACCGUCAGCGGCGGACGGGUGAGUAACACGUGGGCAACCUGCCUGUAAGACUGGGAUAACUCCGGGAAACCGGGGCUAAUACCGGAUAACUCUUUCCCUCACAUGAGGGAAAGCUGAAAGAUGGCAUCUCGCUAUCACUUACCGAUGGGCCCGCGGCGCAUUAGCUAGUUGGUGAGGUAACGGCUCACCAAGGCGACAAUGCGUAGCCGACCUGAGAGGGUGAUCGGCCACACUGGGACUGAGACACGGCCCAGACUCCUACGGGAGGCAGCAGUAGGGAAUCUUCCGCAAUGGACGAAAGUCUGACGGAGCAACACCGCGUGAGUGAUGAAGGUUUUCGGAUCGUAAAACUCUGUUGUCAGGGAAGAACAAGUACCGGAGUAACUGCCGGUACCUUGACGGUACCUGACCAGAAAGCCACGGCUAACUACGUG
rnacentral:rRNA from 1 species